rnacentral:rRNA from 1 species
NAUCCCGUGAACCAUCGAGUCUUUGAACGCAAGUUGCGCCCGAAGCCAUUAGGCUGAGGGCACGUCUGCCUGGGCGUCACGCAUCGCGUUGCCCCCCCCCAUCCGCGUAUCAGUGGAUUCGGGUGGGGCGGAAAUUGGCCUCCUGUGGGCUCCUGCUCGCGGCUGGCCU